rnacentral:rRNA from 1 species
AUUGAACGCUGGCGGCAGGCCUAACACAUGCAAGUCGAGCGAGCCGCGUACGGGUGAGUAAUGUCUGGGGAUCUGCCCGCUAGAGGGGGAUAACUCCUGGAAACGGUGGCUAAUACCGCAUACUAUCGGAUGAACCCUUAUGGGAUUAGCUAGUAGGUGGGGUAAAGGCUCACCUAGGCGACGAUCUCUAGCUGGUCUGAGAGGAUGAUCAGCCACACUGGGACUGAGACACGGCCCAACCUCCUACGGGAGGCAGCAGUGGGGAAUAUUGCACAAUGGACGCAAGCCUAAUGCAGCCAUGCCGCGUGUAUGAAAAAGGCCUUAGGGUUGUAAAGUACUUUCAGCGGGGAGGCGUUACCCGCAGAAGAAGCACCGGCUAACUCCGUGCCAGCAGCCGCGGUAAUAG